AUUGAACGCUGGCGGCAGGCCUAACACAUGCAAGUCGAGCGGAAACGAUGGAAGCUUGCUUCCAGGCGUCGAGCGGCGGACGGGUGAGUAAUGCAUGGGAAUCUGCCCGAUAGUGGGGGAUAACCUGGGGAAACCCAGGCUAAUACCGCAUACGUCCUACGGGAGAAAGCAGGGGAUCUUCGGACCUUGCGCUAUCGGAUGAGCCCAUGUCGGAUUAGCUUGUUGGUGAGGUAAUGGCUCACCAAGGCGACGAUCCGUAGCUGGUCUGAGAGGAUGAUCAGCCACAUCGGGACUGAGACACGGCCCGAACUCCUACGGGAGGCAGCAGUGGGGAAUAUUGGACAAUGGGCGAAAGCCUGAUCCAGCCAUGCCGCGUGUGUGAAGAAGGCCCUCGGGUUGUGAAGCACUUUCAGUGGGGAAGAAAGCCUCGGGAUUAAUACUUCCGAGGAAGGACAUCACCCACAGAAGAAGCACCGGCUAACUCCGUGCCAGCAGCCGCGGUAAUACGGAGGGUGCGAGCGUUAAUCGGAAUUACUGGGCGUAAAGCGCGCGUAGGCGGUCUGAUCAGCCGGUUGUGAAAGCCCCGGGCUCAACCUGGGAACGGCAUCCGGAACUGUCAGGCUAGAGUGCAGGAGAGGAAGGUAGAAUUCCCGGUGUAGCGGUGAAAUGCGUAGAGAUCGGGAGGAAUACCAGUGGCGAAGGCGGCCUUCUGGACUGACACUGACGCUGAGGUGCGAAAGCGUGGGUAGCAAACA
rnacentral:rRNA from 1 species